UCGAGUCUUUCGCUUCGGUAAUUUAUAAUGAAUAAUCACCGGGUGAAAGAUUCGCUU
rnacentral:pre_miRNA from 1 species